rnacentral:rRNA from 1 species
CCCUUCGGGGUGUGACUGCGUACCUUUUGUAUAAUGGGUCAGCGACUUAUAUUCUGUAGCAAGGUUAACCGAAUAGGGGAGCCGUAGGGAAACCGAGUCUUAACCGGGCGUUAAGUUGCAGGGUAUAGACCCGAAACCCGGUGAUCUAGCCAUGGGCAGGUUGAAGGUUGGGUAACACUAACUGGAGGACCGAACCGACUAAUGUUGAAAAAUUAGCGGAUGACCUGUGGCUGGGGGUGAAAGGCCAAUCAAACCGGGAGAUAGCUGGUUCUCCCCGAAAGCUAUUUAGGUAGCGCCUCGUGAAUUCAUCUCCGGGGGUAGAGCACUGUUUCGGCUAGGGGGCCAUCCCGGCUUACCAACCCGAUGCAAACUGCGAAUACCGGAGAAUGUUAUCACGGGAGACACACGGCGGGUGCUAACGUCCGUCGUGAAGAGGGAAACAACCCAGACCGCCAGCUAAGGUCCCAAAGUCAUGGUUAAGUGGGAAACGAUGUGGGAAGGCCCAGACAGCCAGGAUGUUGGCUUAGAAGCAGCCAUCAUUUAAAGAAAGCGUAAUAGCUCACUGGUCGAGUCGGCCUGCGCGGAAGAUGUAACGGGGCUAAACCAU